UUUCGCGCAUACGUUAACUGAAAUACGCGCGGGCGGAAAGACAUUUCUAUUCUAGUCGCCCCUGCCUCAUCCCUUCCCCGAAGGGCUGCUCAUCGAUGAAGAAGCCAUGGAAGAUCAGGGGAGCUUGCCCAAAAUCCGGGCGCCUUUCACUUUCCCCUUAUACAGCACCGCAGAGCUGAUGCCCAUUGUCCCCGUGGAGGAGGAUGUUAGUUUUUUGCAAAGAAUAAAGAAGGGGAAAAGACUGCAGAAAUAAUCCAAUGGCAUCAAGUUUCGGUUUACCGAUAUCGAUAGCUGUGACCUCCAAUCAUACAAAAAUUCAAUCAUUUGAGAGAAUGAAAGAAGUUUGCUUGGUUAUGAGGAUUCAAAGACGUGGGUUGAUGCCAAAUGCUACAUGCCUUGAAAGUUGACGUCCAGCCGCUCCCACCUCCAUCGCUCCCACCUCCAUCGCUUCCAUAGCAUUGAUUGAAAUCAUCUUGGAUGGGCUUGGUGGUUGUUGAGCUGAUGAAAAAGGUAAUGGGCCAACUUGACUAGAAUUGAGGGUCGGCCUAUGAUCGUAGCCCGAUAUAGAAGUUUCGCACAUUUCAGAUGUGGUAAAGUCAAGUGAGACCACAUAAAGAGGCCAAGAGUUUGCCUCUAGGAUCAUCUUACUUAGGAAGCAUCCCAUUUAUAUUGGAGUUCAGUUCUAUCCCAUUUUUAGGAUUUACAAAGUUCCAUUCUCGAACCUUACAAUUUAC